AUUGAACGCUGGCGGCAGGCCUAACACAUGCAAGUCGAGCGAGCGGCGGACGGGUGAGUAAUGUCUGGGGAUCUGCCCGAUGGAGGGGGAUAACUACUGGAAACGGUAGCUAAUACCGCAUACUAUCGGAUGUGCCCAUAUGGGAUUAGCUAGUAGGUGGGGUAAAGGCUCACCUAGGCGACGAUCUCUAGCUGGUCUGAGAGGAUGAUCAGCCACACUGGGACUGAGACACGGCCCAGACUCCUACGGGAGGCAGCAGGGGGGAAUAUUGCACAAUGGGCGCAAGCCUGAUGCAGCCAUGCCGCGUGUAUGAAGAAGGCCUUAGGGUUGUAAAGUACUUUCAGCGGGGAGGCGUUACCCGCAGAAGAAGCACUGGCUAACUCCGUGCCAGCAGCCGCGGUAAUAC
rnacentral:rRNA from 1 species